GACGAACGCUGGCGGCGUGCUUAACACAUGCCAGUCGAACGGAAAGGCCCUGCUUUUUUGGGGUUCUCGAGUGGCGAACGGGUGAGUAACACGUGAGUAACCUUCCCUUGGCUUUGGGAUAACUUCAGGAAACUGGGGCUAAUACCGGAUAGGAGCUCCUGCUGCAUGGGGGGGGUUGGACAGUUUCGGCGGGUGGGGAUGGACUCGCGGCUUAUCAGCUUGUUGGUGGGGUAGUGGCUUACCAAGGCUUUGACGGGUAGCCGGCCUGAGAGGGUGACCGGCCACAUUGGGACUGAGAUACGGCCCAGACUCCUACGGGAGGCAGCAGUGGGGAAUAUUGCACAAUGGGCGGAAGCCUGAUGCAGCAACGCCGCGUGCGGGAUGACGGCCUUCGGGUUGUAAACCGCUUUCGCCUGUGACGAAGCGUGAGUGACGGUAAUGGGUAAAGAAGCACCGGCUAACUACGUG
rnacentral:rRNA from 1 species